GUAGGUGAACCUGCGGAAGGAUCAUUCAUAAUAAGUGUUAUAUGGCACUUUUUUAAAUCCAUAUCCACCUUGUGUGCAAUGUCAGGGUUGAUUUUUCUCUCGAGAGGAUCAGCCCCAAACAUCAACUAUAUCUCAACUCUUUGUCUGAAAAAUAUUAUGAAUAAAACAAUUCAAAAUACAACUUUCAACAACGGAUCUCUUGGCUCUC
rnacentral:misc_RNA from 1 species